GGGUUGUGAGGUUAAGCGACUAAGCGUACACGGUGGAUGCCCUGGCAGUCAGAGGCGAUGAAGGACGUGCUAAUCUGCGAUAAGCGUCGGUAAGGUGAUAUGAACCGUUAUAACCGGCGAUUUCCGAAUGGGGAAACCCAGUGUGUUUCGACACACUAUCAUUAACUGAAUCCAUAGGUUAAUGAGGCGAACCGGGGGAACUGAAACAUCUAAGUACCCCGAGGAAAAGAAAUCAACCGAGAUUCCCCCAGUAGCGGCGAGCGAACGGGGAGCAGCCCAGAGCCUGAAUCAGUGUGUGUGUUAGUGGAAGCGUCUGGAAAGGCGCGCGAUACAGGGUGACAGCCCCGUACACAAAAAUGCACAUGCUGUGAGCUCGAUGAGUAGGGCGGGACACGUGGUAUCCUGUCUGAAUAUGGGGGGACCAUCCUCCAAGGCUAAAUACUCCUGACUGACCGAUAGUGAACCAGUACCGUGAGGGAAAGGCGAAAAGAACCCCGGCGAGGGGAGUGAAAAAGAACCUGAAACCGUGUACGUACAAGCAGUGGGAGCACGCUUCGGCGUGUGACUGCGUACCUUUUGUAUAAUGGGUCAGCGACUUAUAUUCUGUAGCAAGGUUAACCGAAUAGGGGAGCCGAAGGGAAACCGAGUCUUAACUGGGCGUUAAGUUGCAGGGUAUAGACCCGAAACCCGGUGAUCUAGCCAUGGGCAGGUUGAAGGUUGGGUAACACUAACUGGAGGACCGAACCGACUAAUGUUGAAAAAUUAGCGGAUGACUUGUGGCUGGGGGUGAAAGGCCAAUCAAACCGGGAGAUAGCUGGUUCUCCCCGAAAGCUAUUUAGGUAGCGCCUCGUGAAUUCAUCUCCGGGGGUAGAGCACUGUUUCGGCAAGGGGGUCAUCCCGACUUACCAACCCGAUGCAAACUGCGAAUACCGGAGAAUGUUAUCACGGGAGACACACGGCGGGUGCUAACGUCCGUCGUGAAGAGGGAAACAACCCAGACCGCCAGCUAAGGUCCCAAAGUCAUGGUUAAGUGGGAAACGAUGUGGGAAGGCCCAGACAGCCAGGAUGUUGGCUUAGAAGCAGCCAUCAUUUAAAGAAAGCGUAAUAGCUCACUGGUCGAGUCGGCCUGCGCGGAAGAUGUAACGGGGCUAAACCAUGCACCGAAGCUGCGGCAGCGACACUAUGUGUUGUUGGGUAGGGGAGCGUUCUGUAAGCCUGUGAAGGUGUGCUGUGAGGCAUGCUGGAGGUAUCAGAAGUGCGAAUGCUGACAUAAGUAACGAUAAAGCGGGUGAAAAGCCCGCUCGCCGGAAGACCAAGGGUUCCUGUCCAACGUUAAUCGGGGCAGGGUGAGUCGACCCCUAAGGCGAGGCCGAAAGGCGUAGUCGAUGGGAAACAGGUUAAUAUUCCUGUACUUGGUGUUACUGCGAAGGGGGGACGGAGAAGGCUAUGUUGGCCGGGCGACGGUUGUCCCGGUUUAAGCGUGUAGGCUGGUUUUCCAGGCAAAUCCGGAAAAUCAAGGCUGAGGCGUGAUGACGAGGCACUACGGUGCUGAAGCAACAAAUGCCCUGCUUCCAGGAAAAGCCUCUAAGCAUCAGGUAACAUCAAAUCGUACCCCAAACCGACACAGGUGGUCAGGUAGAGAAUACCAAGGCGCUUGAGAGAACUCGGGUGAAGGAACUAGGCAAAAUGGUGCCGUAACUUCGGGAGAAGGCACGCUGAUAUGUAGGUGAAGUCCCUCGCGGAUGGAGCUGAAAUCAGUCGAAGAUACCAGCUGGCUGCAACUGUUUAUUAAAAACACAGCACUGUGCAAACACGAAAGUGGACGUAUACGGUGUGACGCCUGCCCGGUGCCGGAAGGUUAAUUGAUGGGGUUAGCGCAAGCGAAGCUCUUGAUCGAAGCCCCGGUAAACGGCGGCCGUAACUAUAACGGUCCUAAGGUAGCGAAAUUCCUUGUCGGGUAAGUUCCGACCUGCACGAAUGGCGUAAUGAUGGCCAGGCUGUCUCCACCCGAGACUCAGUGAAAUUGAACUCGCUGUGAAGAUGCAGUGUACCCGCGGCAAGACGGAAAGACCCCGUGAACCUUUACUAUAGCUUGACACUGAACAUUGAGCCUUGAUGUGUAGGAUAGGUGGGAGGCUUUGAAGUGUGGACGCCAGUCUGCAUGGAGCCGACCUUGAAAUACCACCCUUUAAUGUUUGAUGUUCUAACGUUGACCCGUAAUCCGGGUUGCGGACAGUGUCUGGUGGGUAGUUUGACUGGGGCGGUCUCCUCCUAAAGAGUAACGGAGGAGCACGAAGGUUGGCUAAUCCUGGUCGGACAUCAGGAGGUUAGUGCAAUGGCAUAAGCCAGCUUGACUGCGAGCGUGACGGCGCGAGCAGGUGCGAAAGCAGGUCAUAGUGAUCCGGUGGUUCUGAAUGGAAGGGCCAUCGCUCAACGGAUAAAAGGUACUCCGGGGAUAACAGGCUGAUACCGCCCAAGAGUUCAUAUCGACGGCGGUGUUUGGCACCUCGAUGUCGGCUCAUCACAUCCUGGGGCUGAAGUAGGUCCCAAGGGUAUGGCUGUUCGCCAUUUAAAGUGGUACGCGAGCUGGGUUUAGAACGUCGUGAGACAGUUCGGUCCCUAUCUGCCGUGGGCGCUGGAGAACUGAGGGGGGCUGCUCCUAGUACGAGAGGACCGGAGUGGACGCAUCACUGGUGUUCGGGUUGUCAUGCCAAUGGCACUGCCCGGUAGCUAAAUGCGGAAGAGAUAAGUGCUGAAAGCAUCUAAGCACGAAACUUGCCCCGAGAUGAGUUCUCCCUGACUCCUUGAGAGUCCUGAAGGAACGUUGAAGACGACGACGUUGAUAGGCCGGGUGUGUAAGCGCAGCGAUGCGUUGAGCUAACCGGUACUAAUGAACCGUGAGGCUUAACCUUACAACGCCGAAG
rnacentral:rRNA from 1 species